UGGGGAAUAUUGGACAAUGGGCGAAAGCCUGAUCCAGCAACGCCGUGUGUGUGAAGAAGGCCUUCGGGUUGUAAAGCACUUUUAGUUGGGAAGAAAAGCUCAUGGUUAACACUCAUGAGUGCUGACGUUACCAACAGAAAAAGCACUGGCUAACUCUGUGCCAGCAGCCGCGGUAAUACAGAGAGUGCAAGCGUUAAUCGGAAUUACUGGGCGUAAAGCGCGCGUAGGUGGAAUCUUAAGUCGGAUGUGAAAUCCCUGGGCUUAACCUGGGCAUUGCAUUCGAUACUGGGUUUCUAGAGUAUGGUAGAGGGAAGUGGAAUUUCCGGUGUAGCGGUGAAAUGCGUAGAUAUCGGAAGGAACACCAGUGGCGAAAGCGGCUUCCUGGACCAAUACUGACACU
rnacentral:rRNA from 1 species